rnacentral:rRNA from 1 species
CACGGACUGCGCGAACGUUAUUCGGAAUCACUGGGCUUAAAGAGUCCGUAGGCGGCCGUGCAGGUGGGGUGUGAAAUCCCUCGGCUUAACCGAGGAAUUGCGCUCCAAACCACAUGGCUUGAGAGAGAUAGAGGUGAGCGGAACUCACGGUGGAGCGGUGAAAUGCGUUGAUAUCGUGAGGAACACCGGUGGCGAAGGCGGCUCACUGGGUCUCUUCUGACGCUGAGGGACGAAAGCUAGGGGAGCGAACGGG